rnacentral:lncRNA from 1 species
GGACGAACUUGGCGCCCCGGCCUUCGGGCGGUUAUUUUUGGGCGCGGCUGGGCCCGCGGCCUAUUUUUGGUACACUGAGGUGCCUCGCAAAGUCUCGCGGCAUUCCGAGUCCGGCGGACGAAGUUGGCCAGCCCCACCCCCCAAGGCUAUAGCCCACCCGUUUUUGUUGGCUUUUUCCGGUGGACGAACGUGGCGCCCCGGCCUUCAGGCGGUUAUUUUUGGGAGCGGCUGUGCCCACGGCCACUUUAUGGCACACGGAGGCACUUCGCAAAGUAUUGCGCCAUUCCGAGUCCGGCGGGCGAAGUUGGCCAGCCCCACCCCCCAAGGCUAUAGCCCACCCGUUUUUGUGGCCUUUUUCCGCGGGACGAACUUGGAGCCCCGGCCUUUGGGCUGUUAUUUUUGGGUGCAGCUGUGCCCGCGGCCACUUUUUGGCACACGGAGGCACCUCGCAAAGUCUCGCGCCAUUCCAAGUCCGGCGGACGAAGUUGGCCAG